rnacentral:rRNA from 1 species
UCUAUCUAUGCUUCAUUCUUCUGAAGGUGGGAAAAAAGAUCAAACUGAUUAUUGAUAAAAAUUAGGGUUUGAAACUUAGGUAAUUAAUUUCUUCUGCUUAGACCCAAGAACAAAUUGGAUCGAUUUUUGAUAAAUCGAAUUCAGUUAAGAUAGGGGAAAUUCAGAUAGCAAUUUCUGAGCCGUAUGAGGUAGGAAACUCUCAAGUACGGUUCUAAGGGAAGGAACUUCCUAUUCCGACCGAGGAGAACAGGCCAUUCUACAGGGUGAUUCGGAAAUUGCGGAAGCUUGGUUUGAUCAAGCUGCUGAAUAUUGGAAACAAGCUAUAGCGCUUACUCCGGGAAAUUAUAUUGAAGCACAGAACUGGUUGAAGAUUACGAAGCGCUUUGAAUUUGAAUAAGACCAUGCUCCUUCUUUUUCAUAAAAUGGGUGGUUUGGUUGUUGAUCCAUUAAUCAAAUAAAUUAGGUCGUAAGAUCGAAUCAAGAAUUUCAUUAUAUCCAUUUCUUAUACCCUCUAUUUUAUAUGAUAUUUCAUAAGAAUAAACCAUAGGGAUAGGGUCUAGAAUAGAAGUAAUAAAGUGAAUAAAAAGAGGGGGCAAUCUAAAUAUUGCUAAUAUAUUAGGACCAUCUUAUUAAUAAUUCUAAUGAGUUAUCUUGGAAUUUAGAAUCAAAUAAAAAAC